rnacentral:rRNA from 1 species
GGGCGCAGCAGGCGCGAAACCUCCGCAAUGCGGGAAACCGCGACGGGGGGACCCCCAGUGCCGUGCCUCUGGCACGGCUUUUCCGGAGUGUAAAAAGCUCCGGGAAUAAGGGCUGGGUAAGGCCGGUGGCAGCCGCCGCGGUAAUACCGGCGGCCCGAGUGGUGGCCACUAUUAUUGGGCCUAAAGCGGCCGUAGCCGGGCCCGUAAGUCCCUGGCGAAAUCCCACGGCUCAACCGUGGGGCUCGCUGGGGAUACUGCGGGCCUUGGGACCGGGAGAGGCCGGGGGUACCCCCGGGGUAGGGGUGAAAUCCUAUAAUCCCGGGGGGACCGCCAGUGGCGAAGGCGCCCGGCUGGAACGGGUCCGACGGUGAGGGCCGAAGGCCAGGGGA